GUGUUUCCAGUCCAACCCAAGGGAAGCAGAUUCUUGCUUCAGAAACUACAGGAAAAUCUUUUUCACAUACCUGCUCCUCCCUCAUGGCCUGCAACUUCUUAGCCUUACUCUGGCGGUAAUACUCCAUGAUCAUCAUGGCUGCAUAGAUUUUCCCCACUGUCAGCAAAAUAACUGGAUCUAUGGAAAUGGCACUUGCCUUUGGCAAUCUUGAUGUCAAGGGCAGUUCUGAUCAAUGCCAUAAGGGUAGAAUUGAAAUGGACCGUGUUGUCAUCUGCCACAGGUAUUUGUUUAGAGGAGAAUCUGGAAGAGGCAGCUUGUCACUUAACAAGUCACCAGUUAGAUGGAUCAGCUUUGUCAGAGACCAGUCAGUUCAAGAGCUGUGGAAUUUCACCUUACCACCAGCCAUGAGGAAAUAAACAACAGAAUGUUUACUUUUAUCACCUGACAGAAAACAUUCAAUAAGGAGAAUGACCUUGCUGCUUUAUUUGCAUUUUCUUGCUGUUUUCAAACAUAGUGAGGAUUAAAAAUCAUGAAAAAUCAUGAUGUAUAUCUCAAACUAUUGGGCUAUGCUAGGUGCCUUGAAGAGGCAGUUGAAUUUUUUACUCUUAGCUGGAAUAUGCACCAAUACUUACUAAUUUCUAAUGUGUGGGUGUAGGUGGGGAUGGGUGGUGGUGGUUGGGAAACAAAUCUAUUCUGAUAUUGAUCCAAACUAGUUUCAGUUCUGCAUCAGAAUGUGUCCAGAGGACUUUCCUGAAUUUUCUCUGCACUUUAAGAAAAUAAAUCCAGACUCAUCUUUUGGAUCCAAUUCAAGUCUUGCAGUCUUACUGUAGGAGAAAUAUAUUAUCACUCUACACUAGAGCAGGGGUCCCCAACCUCCGGUUUGGCACUGGGCUGCGGCAUGCCAGAAACUGGGCUGCAUAAACAAGCGUAGCCCCAUCCACAGGACGCAGGCAGCAUGAAAAACCAUGCCCCCUCUGGUCCGCAGAAAAACCUCUCUCCACAGAACCAGUCCCUGGUACCUAAAAGGUUGGGGGCCACUACACUAGAGCAUAGCAUACCAAGCACCUAAUUUUGCUUUUGUCUUACUAAUGUGGCCCUCUCUGCCAUCAUAUAAUUAAUGCACCGUACUGGAGAUAAGUUGUAACUAGUGCUGCGACAUUUAUUUCGACAGACAUAAAAUCUAAAUAUUGUUGCAUAUAUGUUCUGCAUUCAGAGAAAAUGGGAACUACAGAAGCAUGAUUUUAUUUGGGGGAAACCUGGCAUAGAUUAGUGUAAAGUUUUAUUUACAGGUUACAAAUGGUUGGUUUCCAUGUGGAUAUGGUCUAUGAAGAUAUGUCACCGGAUGAAGAUAAUAUUUACCUUCAAAAUUUCUUAUUUGAACAUCAGAGGCAUUCCCAUAUAUUGUAUUUGUUGUGUAGCUUGCCACUGCAGUGUAGGUGACUAGAUUUUAAUAUCGUUGAUGUUCUUAUUUUUUUUGCAUUCUAAAAUCCUAUAACUUUUUUCAAUGGGUUUGUAUUUUUGCUACCUCUCCUUUGUUAUUCUUAAUUUAUUAGGGACUAGGGUUAGGGUGAAGGAAUCUAUAUUGAUUUAGGCAGUCUGAAAGCAAUCUCAACAUUUUAGGUUGUUUGGAGAGUUCUAAGGGAACAAUAAAUAAUGUUUCUUCUGUUAGGUGGCACUUUAAUGAAUUAUUUGAGUAGGAGCAUGCACCUCAGAUUUGUUUUUUACCUGCCCGCUAUCUACUGGCCAUAAUGGAGUCUCUGAAACGUGAAACACUAACAGAACUGAAUGGACACACUGUCAUUGUUCAAGAAACUGGAAUGAGGAAGGGGAAGAAAUUACAAAAAUUAUAGGCUUAAUUGUUUCUGCUCAAUCAAAAUAAUUAAAAAUGAA